AGGAAUCUGGAGUUCAUGUAUCAUUAUCAAACACAAGCUUGUGGAAGGGGUGGGUGUGGCUGGGAGAAAAUGUUAAACAGGAAGGGAAGAAGCUGGAUCACCACAAACGCCAUGGAGGAGAAGCCCACAAAUUGGAUCUCACGAAUUCCACCACCACUCCUCGCCGCCGUCCAUGCUCCGACGUCAGCAGGGCCAGCAAGACGGCGACUUCCACUGGCUGUAAGCCAUCAAAGCUUUGCAUGCGUGAGGCCGGGUUGAUGUUGACUUAAUCAAUCUCCCUGCUGGCGAGGACUUCCUACAGCUUUGCAAGUAUAAGCACCACCAUUGUUUAGUUCCCAGGAUCUCUUUGCUGUCAUGUUGAAUUUGGAGGUGAUA